GACGAACGCUGGCGGCGUGCUUAACACAUGCAAGUCGAACGAUGAAGCCGGAGCUUGCUCCGGUGGAUUAGUGGCGAACGGGUGAGUAACACGUGAGCAAUCUGCCCUUGACUCUGGGAUAACUGCGGGAAACUGUAGCUAAUACCGGAUACGACACCUUGGGGCAUCCCAGGGUGUGGAAAGAAUUUCGGUCAAGGAUGAGCUCGCGGCCUAUCAGCUAGUUGGUGAGGUAAUGGCUCACCAAGGCGACGACGGGUAGCCGGCCUGAGAGGGUGACCGGCCACACUGGAACUGAGACACGGUCCAGACUCCUACGGGAGGCAGCAGUGGGGAAUAUUGCACAAUGGGCGAAAGCCUGAUGCAGCAACGCCGCGUGAGGGAUGAAGGCCUUCGGGUUGUAAACCUCUUUUAGCAGGGAAGAAGCGAAAGUGACGGUACCUGCAGAAAAAGCACCGGCUAACUACGUGCCAGCAGCCGCCGCAG
rnacentral:rRNA from 1 species